GCUCCCGUAGCUCAGGGGAUAGAGCACCGGUUUCCUAAACCGGGUGUCGGAGGUUCGAAUCCUCCCGGGAGCGCCA
rnacentral:tRNA from 1 species